UACGUGAGGGUGCGAGCGUUGUCCGGAAUUAUUGGGCGUAAAGAGCUCGUAGGCGGUCUGUCGCGUCGAUCGUGAAAACUUGGGGCUUAACCCUGAGCUUGCGGUCGAUACGGGCAUGACUGGAGUUCGGCAGGGGAGACUGGAAUUCCUGGUGUAGCGGUGAAAUACGUAGAUAUCUGGAGGAAUACCGGUGGCGAAGGCGGCUACCUGGCCCAACAUUGACACUGAGGCCCGAAAGCGUGGGGAUCAAACAGG
rnacentral:rRNA from 1 species